rnacentral:rRNA from 1 species
UGGCUCAGAUUGAACGCUGGCGGCAGGCCUAACACAUGCAAGUCGAACGGUAGCACAGAGAGCUUGCUCUCGGGUGACGAGUGGCGGACGGGUGAGUAAUGUCUGGGAAACUGCCUGAUGGAGGGGGAUAACUACUGGAAACGGUAGCUAAUACCGCAUAAUGUCGCAAGACCAAAGAGGGGGACCUUCGGGCCUCUUGCCAUCAGAUGUGCCCAGAUGGGAUUAGCUAGUAGGUGGGGUAACGGCUCACCUAGGCGACGAUCCCUAGCUGGUCUGAGAGGAUGACCAGCCACACUGGAACUGAGACACGGUCCAGACUCCUACGGGAGGCAGCAGUGGGGAAUAUUGCACAAUGGGCGCAAGCCUGAUGCAGCCAUGCCGCGUGUGUGAAGAAGGCCUUCGGGUUGUAAAGCACUUUCAGCGAGGAGGAAGGCAAUGCGGUUAAUAGCCGUGUUGCAUUGANAGUUA